UUCGAUCGGGCGGUAGUGGGAGCGGCCAUGUUUGUUUCCGUCGACUGUGCUGCUCCCUACCGUCCGAGAUUGAUCGUUAAGUGAGGAAAAAAUCGAAAAUUUAAGAGGAAAUUUCGCAAAAUCGAACAGGAAAAACGCAAUCUUCACUUACCCAGAGCAUGUUGUUCAAUCCAAAAAAAAAAUGUCGGUUCACCACCCACGGAGAAGAUAUCCCGUGGUGUAACCACUGGAGAAUUAGGUAGACAUAGCACCAAAAGAGAUUUAUGGUAGAAGUGGAAGCUCAGGGUGUUAGAGACCCCUCCCUAAAAGCACUCGAAAAACCCCUCCAGGUUACCUGUGACAAUUAUUUACGAGAUUGGAAAGUAUUUCUAAAUCCAUUUGGGAAGAGAGACACAUGUUUUUGAUGGAACGAGCUUGAACCUAUCACCGAAAAGAGGAGGAGAGGCAACAAAAAGGGUCGAUAUAUUCUUACCCCCAAAGUCUAUUUAUAGAUUCUCCAUAUCAUAUUACAUUCCAAAGAGGGAAUUCUUAAUGAAAUCCGUUUGAAUCGACUACAAACUAACAAAUUAACAUGCACGGAUCGUCAUCAGUUGGAUAUAAUGAUGGAGUGGCGACAGUACGAGACCAUAACGCAAAUUGGCACGCUUACAAAACCAUAACGUCUCCACAUGAUGCAGCAACGAAUAACAUGAAGGCAGACGAUAGCUAAUUUAUAUGUGUUCUCACUAUCGCUUCAUCCAGACAUUAACGACACCGUUCGACGAUUGGAAUUACAAUAAACGAGACAGGGAGGCGGAGUUGAAUACUAAAACGAUUUAUCAUCAAUGCUGAUUAUUUAACUGCAUAAAAAAAUCUAAGAAAGAAAAAAAAUUUUCUGCAAAUAUUUGUUGAUGAAUAUUCAAAAAAAUGAGAAAUACGACGCAAAACUGAGUUGGCAUCCGUAAGUUAUUAAAUAUAAUUGUAAUUGUGGACUUUAUGGGAGGGAUUAACAUCGAAAUGGUGGCCAUUAAGCGCU